GACGAACGCUGACGGUGUGCUUUAGACAUGCAAGUCGAACGAGAAAGCCCUUCGGGGUGAGUACAGUGGCGAACGGGUGAGUAACACGUGGGUAACCUGCCCCUCGCAGGGGGACAACCGGGGGAAACCCCGGCUAAUACCCCGUACGCUUGCCGGGCCGCAUGGCACCGGCAAGGAAAGGUAGCUUCGGCCAUCCGGCGAGGGAUGGGCCCGCGGUCCAUUAGCUAGUUGGUGGGGUAA
rnacentral:rRNA from 1 species